rnacentral:rRNA from 1 species
GACGAACGCUGGCGGCGUGCUUAACACACGCAAGUCGAACGGUGAACUCCGCUUGCGGGGGGAUCAGUGGCGAACGGGUGAGUAACACGUGGGCAACCUGCCCUCAGCUCUGGGAUAACUCCAAGAAAUUGGGGCUAAUACCGGAUAUGACCGCUGACCGCAUGGUCUGGUGGUGGAAAGAUUUAUCGGCUGGGGAUGGGCCCGCGGCCUAUCAGCUUGUUGGUGGGGUAGUGGCCUACCAAGGCGACGACGGGUAGCCGGCCUGAGAGGGUGACCGGCCACACUGGGACUGAGACACGGCCCAGACUCCUACGGGAGGCAGCAGUGGGGAAUAUUGCGCAAUGGGCGAAAGCCUGACGCAGCGACGCCGCGUGGGGGAUGACGGCCUUCGGGUUGUAAACCUCUUUCAGCAGGGACGAAGCGAAAGUGACGGUACCUGCAGAAGAAGCACCGGCCAACUACGUG